UUGGGAAAUGAUGGCGGUCAUCUUUCAGAACUGACCUGAAAUGAAGGGAAUACUCUCUGCUGAUCACUU